GUCAAAAGAACUACAGCCCUACUCAUCUCAUUAGAACUCAGAAGCUGAGCAGGGCUGGGCCUGGUUAGUACUUAGAUGGGAGACCGCUGGGAAUCACAGGUGCCUCUGUGG
rnacentral:rRNA from 1 species